rnacentral:misc_RNA from 1 species
CCGAGUUCUGAGGUCUCUUCUUCGAGCCUCAACUCCCACACCAUGUGUACCUUACCUUCUGUUGCUUCGGCGAGCCGCCCUGAAAAGGGCGCCAACCUCUCUGUAGGUUGGAGCGUCUGCUCGCCGGAGGACCAUGAAACUCUUGCUAAUUGAAUCGUCUGAGUAACGUUUUAAUAAAUUA